CAUUCAUAUCAAAAGAGAAAUAAAUUUUGAGUAUCAUUGGUAUAUGCCUUGAGUUUUUAGCACGCGAUCUUACGAACAUUUUUUUAUUUCCUCUUCAUUGGCAUUAUUUACUUGCGUACUGUUUUAUUCAUUACUUCAUUGAUUAUAUCUAAGUAUAUAGUUAAUUAAAUUGUUUUGCACAAUUAUACGAAUUACAUUAAUUUAAGUUAUGCUUAUUCUUUUGUAAUUGAAAACGAAUUUAACUUUUCCCAGACCAGAAUAAUACUCGUCAUUUUGUUUUACUAUUAUUAAUCUACUCCUAUUAUUUAUCCUCGACUGCUGGCUUCCAAUAAAAUACGUUAGGAUUAGUUUAUGAUAUUCCAGAAUAAGGCGUUAUUGAUUGUCUGCAAUUAAGUGGGUUUAAAAAAUUAAUCUUCUGGUUUGUCUGGAGAUGAUGUACGAAUAGACUAUUAUCAAACCGUGCUAGAUUUAUCAGAAGUUUCAGAAGUGGACUAGUUUUAGGAAGAAAAACUUUUGAUAAAUUUCACUGGGUAUAGUUUUUACAAGAUUUCAUGCUAAUCCAACCCUUCCUGGAAAUUAAAACUUUACUAAGCCGUACUUAAUGCCAUGUCAUCUAAGUUUUCACAAGAACAUAGAGUGCCAAUCCAAUAAGAAAUCAUCUUGUUUUAAUAGUUUAUAAUUAAUAACAUACUCUUUAAUACAUUAUUAGGCAGUUUUCGAAACCAUUAAAAAGUAUCACCGGUAACCACUAAUUGACAUGUAUGACAUUUGAAGUGUCAUUUAUCGUAUAUCCCUACCGAUACCCUCCGCUAUCUUACGGAUGAGAGACAUAGCCAUAAACAUAGCGAAACGCAUGCGCAUUAAUGUUGUUUACAUUAUUGUCAAAUAAUAAUAAUUCAUAAUUCAAGUUUAUUUAGUCUCCUUUUGUCUGAAACAGUAAGAAUAAAUUUGUGUUUUUUUUUAAAUUUUGUGUAACAAUGACCACGACCAACAAUCUAAAUUCCAGUGUCUUGACAAAAUUCAAGAGAAGUAGGGUUAAAUUUAAUGAUGAUGACCAAAUACUUCUAAUGGACAUCCUAGCUAAUAAUCCCUAUGUUGAUCCAGCAAAAUAGAACAUCAUACACAAUAAUUUUUGUCAAUUUACAGGAAAAGAUAUUACUUUAAGAGGAAUGAAGGAACAUGUAAAUUACAUUCUAAAAAAUUUUAAGAGGAAAGAAAAGGAAAAUAGAGCCCGAUCAGGAGUUGAGGAACUAUAUGGCUUGGAUGGAUUAUUGCAAGAAGUUUUAGAACUUAUUAACGGCAUUCUAAAAGAAAAAGAAAUUAUUAAAAAAGAGGCCAAGAAUUCUGAGAAAGGCAAAUUGUUAGGGGAGGGUUUAACACAACAAAUUUAUAAAUUGGAUAAACAAGCAGUUAUAGACCCAAGACGAUCUUCAUCUUCUCCAUAUCAGGAACAGCAGGUAUUUGAUUGGGCCUCAAGCAAUCCUAAUAUUGAAUAUAUGUUUGGAAAAGAGAGUGCUACAAACAAACCUACAGUGCUUCCAAAUAAACCUCAAUCUCCAAUUAAUAUUAAAUCUCCAAUACCAAUAAAGGAUCACCCCUUGGAUCACCCAGUAAAUAAUGCAUUUCACAGAGAAGCCCAAUCAAAGAUUCAAGGUAGUUUUAUGAUUAAUACCAACCAUUAUUCAUGAAAACUUUUUGUUAUGUACUAGAUAAGGAUAAGCCUUUAGCUCUCAAUUUUUUAUACAUAUGUGAAUGUUUCUUUUUUUUGAGAAUUGACAAAAAUUAUUAUGUAAAAUGAA